UUCAGUCAGCAGCAAUAUACGGUCACGUCGGUCAGCAGUCAGAGCCUUUGCGUUAGUUAUGGAGCAUUGGAAGAUAUCUUGUUGUGUUAAGUUGUGUAUCGAGACGAAGGCUAUGAAUGUUUUAUGCUUCACCAGCUUCAAUCAGCUAUUUCUGUGUUUUGAAUGCAGUGCAGUUAAAUAGUAGCGGAUAUCAUGUGACAUCUUUCUGCAAUGAUGAUAGUUCAUUCUGUUCAGCACAAUGUUGUGUGGUGAUUCAAUAUUAGUCAUGCAGGACUCUGAUUUAAGUUACGCAAUUCAGAUAAGUUGUUUGGUGAUUAUUGUAUUAUUAACUAUAAUGUCUUUUUCAUGAUGUUUAGAUAAUGAUUAAAAAUUGCUCAUCGGUUCACCACAAAGACUGGAUUAUUACUGUAGUGCUACAGUCCAGAUGGGAUUCAACUCGAGGAAUUACAGUUGUGAAUUUUGGUCCAAGGCUAUCCUGCUGGCCGAUGAUAUGGAAGUGAAAUCAACUGUUUUUUAUGUAACUACAAGUUUCUAAUUCCGUCAGUGCCCUACAACUAGUGUUUGAUGGCCAGUCACCCUGUAUGGAUGACUUUCUACUGCAACAUCUGUCAACAAGGAAAUCACUUGACGAUUGUUGUUUUCCUGAUUGACCCAUUCGUGUCAGCUCUUUACACCCAUGUCACCAACAUAAUUAGCUGGAAGAUCGAAUCUCAUUCUGUGGUCGUAUUUCUUGAAAAUGUGAUAACUACCACAUACUUGGACUGAUGACUUUGAGGAUACUAUGACAAUCGUUUAAAAUUGUAUUGCUUGUAGCCUACAGUCUAACAUUAACAUGUUGUUAUUGUCUCGUUUCAGAGAAUCCUGGUGUUGGAGCCUGGCGUUGCUGCAGCGUGUCUACAUUUGGCGGUUACUGGUUAAUCCUCGACAUUGUGAAAUAUUCUUCCGGCGUCUUCAGCUCAACUCCCGUUACCUCCGGAUUAUGGCCACUGCUCCUGCUGUCGGAUGAUGUCUAUGCGGAAAUUGAUCCUGACACAACACACCGCAGCUGCCUUUGUUCAGGUUUUUCAAAAUUCCGGUUGGGAUUCAAUGUUGCCGGUCUGGACAUGUCUGGAAAACGACAGGGCGCCCAUAGCGGUGAAUUCACCAACUAAGAAGAAUCAUUCAGUUUUUCUUCAGCAUUUAUUGUUUUAGGUGGGUUUUCAAAAACGCUGACGGAGGCUGUUGCCCUAAAACGGAUAUCGAAAUGAUAAAUGACCUCACAUGGAUCCGUUAAUGAAGUCUUAAUUUUAUCGUCUGCCUGUUGUCUAGCCUAAAUGCAAGUGUGUAACGAGAAUUCGAAAUUUACUUCAGAUUCCACUCAGAUGCCGUGAAACUUUGGAUACCGUCUGACCAAAUAUUGUUUGACAGCCAUUUUCCGGCGAUCAGUCACUUCAUCCUUUGAUGGAGCGUCUAGAGUCUCAAUCUCAAAGUCCGACAAUCCAUCCAUCCUUGAUUCCUUUCCGUACAGUCAAACGUGGAGGAAUCUUUUGGCUCCGUCAGUAGGUGGCUAAAAUCAAGUUGUCCCCCCAGCCGCCAGAUGACGCGAGUCUCUUUGAGAGGACGAAAUUUUCGCCAUUUUGUUCUGAAACGCCAAGUGAAAAAGUAUUCCAAAUUCGUUACGGAAUUGAGAUGUCGAUCUACAUUUUCAGCAUUGAAAUUGAAAUUUAUGGCAAUCUGGCAUAUAAUUUCCAUUUGGCCAAAUAAUCGAUCAGGAACUGCUUUCUAUUUUGCCGGAAUGUCGUCGGUUGUUACCUUUACCUGUUCGUUCGGAUGUACCUGUCAUCUCACGCCGAAACACUACAGAGCUUGGAGAUCCCGUUGCCUAACUGUUGCAGAAUGUGAGAACUCAACAAAGUCUGAGCUCCAUGGCCGGCAUCAUUACAGUGAUUUUGUUGGAGCCAGCUGGUGAAAGGUGUGAUUGAGUUAAGUUGAGCUGCAGCUGCUGCAUGCAGUUUAUCGAGCUGGUGUUAUCCUGAAGUGUCAUCGCAGGAAGACUUUUUGAAAUGGACUUGGUGAUACUUAAACUAUGCCUGUGCUGUUCAAUGUGCAGUGGUUUUGCAGCCGAUUAUGCAGCUGAUAUAGGAUUGAAGAAAAAGAUCUGAAGUAGCUGUGCUGGUGUUCCGAAAUUGCUGUGCCACAGGAGUUGCAGAUAGUGUGUUUGGUUCCACAUAGAAGUUAAUGUAAAGAGUUUGGAGAUGAUUAGCCACUUCUGCCUAUAACUUUUGUAAAACUUCAAAGUUGUAAGAAAUAUACAAGUCAAGUGCGAAA